GACUUAGCGGCGAACGGGUGAGUAACACGUGGGCAACCUGCCCUUAGCUCUGGGAUAAGCGAUGGAAACGUCGUCUAAUACUGGAUAUGACAUGCGGAGGCAUCUUCUGUGUGUGGAAAGAUUUAUCGGCUAGGGAUGGGCCCGCGGCCUAUCAGCUUGUUGGUGGGGUAAUGGCCUACCAAGGCGGCGACGGGUAACCGGCCUGAGAGGGCGACCGGUCACACUGGGACUGAGACACGGCCCAGACUCCUACGGGAGGCAGCAGUGGGGAAUAUUGCACAAUGGGCGCAAGCCUGAUGCAGCGACGCCGCGUGAGGGAUGACGGCCUUCGGGUUGUAAACCUCUUUCAGCAGGGACGAAGCGAGAGUGACGGUACCUGCAGAAGAAGCGCCGGCCAACUACGUGCCAGCAGCCGCGGUAAUACGUAGGGCGCAAGCGUUGUCCGGAAUUAUUGGGCGUAAAGAGCUCGUAGGCGGUUUAUCACGUCGGCUGUGAAAUCCCGAGGCUUAACCUCGGGCUUGCAGUCGAUACGGGUUGACUAGAGUGAAGCAGGGGAGACUGGAAUUCCUGGUGUAGCGGUGAAAUGCGCAGAUAUCAGGAGGAACACCGGUGGCGAAGGCGGGUCUCUGGGCUUUAACUGACGCUGAGGAGCGAAAGCGUGGGUAGCGAACAGGAUUAGAUACCCUGGUAGUCCACGCCGUAAACGGUGGGCGCUAGGUGUGGGGACCAUUCCACGGUUUCCGUGCCGCAG
rnacentral:rRNA from 1 species